GAUUGUAGUUGUCUUUGUAACGGUUGCGCCUAUUGCACCGUGGAGUCCACGGCCCUCUAGUGUCAUAUAGUGCUAUUGCACCGUGGAUCCACGGCGCUCUAAUGUCACUUGGUGCUAUUGCACCGUGGAUCCACGGCGCUCUUGGGGCAAAACAUGCUAUUACGCCGUGGAGUGUGAUCACAAUACUUGUUUGUAUUAACUAUGCCAUUUGAAGCUGUCAAUGUACGUUUAUAAUCUUCUAUGUCUGUAACGGGUACCUUUACCUAGCUUCUCUUGACAAUAAAUAUAUUUCCAACCUUUUCCAGUUACAAAAAAUAACAAAAAACGAGUAUUUAAAUGUCAAGAAAUUUUUAUUCAAAUAAAAAUGUACAGAAAAAAAAAACACUUUAAAGCUCGUGCUACUUAUGAAGUAAAAUUGCCGACACUCGCCCAUCAAAAAGAGAAAAGUCUUUGAUCACUUUGUACCCUAGUAGAAAGCUAAUCACAUGAACUUACUGAUUGGUUUAGGGAUAUUAAACUGUAUAACAUUAAAAAUUUAGAAUCCACUCUGAACCAUCUUCCAAGCUUAUCGUGCACUCACUGAUCUCUGAUUUUGUGAUAACUGUAAUAAAAAUAAAUCAUUAACCCAUCAUGUACCCAAGCAAAAACUCAUCGUGUUGUACUUACUUAUUGCUGUGGUGAUAAUUGUUAAACAUUAACAAUCCAGUAAUCCACUUGGUAUCAAGCUUGUCGUGCACUCAAUGAUUGGUGAUUUCCUAAACAUAAAUCAUCAAUCAUCAUGUAUCCAAGAAAAAAGCUCAAAAUGCACUUACUGAUUUGUUUAGUGAUUACUGUAAAAAAUGACAAAUUAAUUCUUAAAUCAACUCUGUUUGCAGAAAGCUCGUCAUGCACUGAUUGGUGUUGUGAUAGUGAUACUGUAAAAAAGGACAAAUUUAUUAAUCCAACAUGUAAGAAAUCUGAUCGUAAACGUAAACUAACUUAUUGGUUUUGUGAUAAAGUAUCGGUGUCCAAUUCCAUCUUUACAUAAAAUCAUGAUUGUCAGCAAUGACAGCAGGAAAAUUUCAACUCAUCAAAGAAACAAGGACGCCAUUAACACUCACGAAAUAUAUAAUCAGGCCAAUAACUAGGUAACGAAAGAAAACCAAGAAAGCUGAAGAAGGUAUAGCAGGGCAGACCGCGCUACCUGGUAUCCACGGCGCAAUAGCAUAUUUUGACAUGGAGUGCCGUGGAUCCACGGUGCAAUAGCACUAAGUGACACUAGAGCGCCGUGGACUCCACGGUGCAAUAGAUUUUUCCCUUUGUAACUUUUGUCAUUGUUCAUUCAAUUGAAGAGGCUGCAACAAUCAUGCAUCAGGCAUGGUAUAAUAGCAUCUAUUCUAGGCUAUACCUUGCCAGAGUCAUCUGACCUUGCAUCAGGAAUACAGAAGAAAUAAAAGUGCUUAAUAUUGAACGUUUUAGCAAGUUAAGGAUUUAACUGUACCUAUUUUUCCAUUCCGCUUAUUCGCUCUCUGCAAUGCCACAAAAUCUCUCUGCUUUUAGAUAAACAUAUUACCAUGAUACAUCACAGUCAAAGCUGUAAAUGUCAGGCGUCACGCGUCAGGGUCGACAGACAGGAUUCCUCACCAGAGGAUCGAUUCUCUUGAAAAAACUAAAAAAGACAUGGCCUUUAAAUUGUUCUUUUUUUUCAACGCGUUAAUUGUUAUGGGACAUCUAAAAUAGACUCUGAAUGAACCUGUGCCACCAUCUCCACAUGAAUGAGUUCAUUUGCUGCACAGCCAACCAACCAACCACACACAGCAAACACCACAAUAAUUUGCAACCUUUGGGACAAAAUAACCCAGAAGUUCUAAACCCUUAAUUGACCCGGCACUACCCCAUUUUUUAAAUAACUACAAUAUUUAGGAAAAUUGUUCAAAGACAUCAAUUCGUUGGCGAGCAAACCAUGAACCUUACUGAUACAUAUGCCCUAUUUAAUUUAGAAUUGCUCCCAAGUCUUCCGCCAUAGCGAUCCGAUGCUCUACCAUUGAGCUACGAAUGACACCUGUAACACUUCUACUUCUUCGACACAUUAACAUAACUGCACGAGUUAAAUAGUCCCUCAGACGACAAUGGAAGGGUAUAGGAAGGCAAUGCUAGAAUAUGGUAUGGCAACCGACGCCUAAUUCGGUGGUUAGAUUCACAGUUAUGUUCCCCAGGAUCUUCCAAACAUCCUAGGAAGUAUACCAUUCAAGUGCACCAACAAUGUUGAGAAACAUACCAACAAUGACAAUACCAACUUUUGCCAAGUGAGUAAGUUGUGGGAUGAACAUGUUUUAAGAAUGGGUAAUAUAAGAGACAAACAUUUCUUUAAACAAAUGGACUUUUUGUCGAUUACAUUGCGCACUGCAUUUUACUUUA
rnacentral:lncRNA from 1 species